UACGAAGGGGGCUAGCGUUGCUCGGAAUCAUUGGGCGUAAAGGGUGCGUAGGCGGCGCGGUAAGUCGGGUGUGAAAUCUCGGAGCUUAACUCCGAAACUGCAUUCGAUACUGCCGUGCUUGAGGACUGGAGAGGAGACUGGAAUUUACGGUGUAGCGGUGAAAUGCGCAGAUAUCAGGAGGAACACCGGUGGCGAAGGCGGGUCUCUGGGCCGAUACUGACGCUGAGGAGCGAAAGCGUGGGGAGCGAACAGG
rnacentral:rRNA from 1 species